rnacentral:rRNA from 1 species
GGGUCAGUAGGUUGGUCGUGCCACCGGUACGUACUGGUCUCACUGAUUCCUCCUUCCUGAAGAACCGUAAUGCCAUUAAUUUGGUGUUGCGGGGAAACAGGACUGUUACUUUGAAAAAAUUAGAGUGUUUAAAGCAAGCUAACGCUUGAAUACAUUAGCAUGGAAUAAUGAAAUAGGACGAUCGAUCCUAUUUUGUUGGUUUCUAGGAUUGACGUAAUGUUUAAUAGGGAUGUUGGG